AUUGAACGCUGGCGGCAGGCCUAACACAUGCAAGUCGAGCGAGCGGCGGACGGUUAAGUAAUGUAUGGGGACUGCACGAUAGAGGGGGAUAACUACUAGAAACGGUAGCUCAUACCGCUUACUAUCGGAUAACCCAUAGGGGCUUAGCUAGUAGGUGAGGUAAUGGCUCACCUAGGUGACGGUCCCUAGCUGGUCUGAGAGGCUGAUCAGCUACACUGGGACUGAGACACGGCCCAGACUCCAAGGGAGGCAGUAGUGGGGAAGAUUGCACAAUGGGCGCAAGCCUGAUGAAGCCAUGCCGCGUGUAUGAAGAAGGCCAUAGGGUUUUAAAGUAUUGUCAGUCGGGAGGCGUUACCGACAGAAGAAGCACCUGCUAACUCCGUGCCAGCAGCCGCGGUAAUAC
rnacentral:rRNA from 1 species